rnacentral:tRNA from 1 species
AAAGGGAGACCUAAUUCGGGUAUAAGACGAAAAAAUAGUAGUCGAAACCAAGAAUCAAUCCCAAAAGGUCGGAACGAGGUAUGUGGCUUUCAAACUAGGUUCUGGGUUCAUAAAAGACCUGAAUCAGGAACAAGGGCUAUUAGCUCAGGUGGUUAGAGCGCACCCCUGAUAAGGGUGAGGUCCCUGGUUCGAGUCCAGGAUGGCCCACCUGCACAGGUGGCAAAAACAAGAGAAGCGAGGAAUCAGCACCUUAUCCUAAUUUAUAUAUAGGAGAGAAUGCUGGCUCUGAGUAAAGAGUCCAGAGGAACCUUGAAAACUGCAUAGAGCUAGGUGAAAAAGCCAAAAAGGAAGACCGCAAG